rnacentral:lncRNA from 1 species
CCCUAACAUUUAAGAAUUUCUCACCAUUUUCAAAUAUUUCACUUACUUGUAGUCCUAGCAAUAAAUUGCAUAAAAUCAUCGGUAUCUAAUACCUAGGUAGUGGAAUUACAUAGAGAAACUUUAAGGUGUUAUCAUAUAACAUCCUUGAUGAGCAACCCUUGCUCCUUUCUCUUGUUUAUCCUAUUAUGGUCAAGGAAAGCAAGACAAUUCUUCUUCCUAUGAUCCUGUGCUUAUGCCUGAU